GAUGAACGCCGGCGGCGUGCCUAAUACAUGCAAGUCGAGCGAACGGACGAGAAGCUUGCUUCUCUGAUGUUAGCGGCGGACGGGUGAGUAACACGUGGAUAACCUACCUAUAAGACUGGGAUAACUUCGGGAAACCGGAGCUAAUACCGGAUAAUAUUUUGAACCGCAUGGUUCAAAAGUGAAAGACGGUCCUGCUGUCACUUAUAGAUGGAUCCGCGCUGCAUUAGCUAGUUGGUAAGGUAACGGCUUACCAAGGCAACGAUGCAUAGCCGACCUGAGAGGGUGAUCGGCCACACUGGAACUGGGACACGGUCCAGACUCCUACGGGAGGCGGCAGUAGGGAAUCUUCCGCAAUGGGCGAAAGCCUGACGGAGCAACGCCGCGUGAGUGAUGAAGGUCUUCGGAUCGUAAAACUCUGUUAUUAGGGAAGAACAUAUGUGUAAGUAACUGUGCACAUCUUGACGGUACCUAAUCAGAAAGCCACGGCUAACUACGUG
rnacentral:rRNA from 1 species